CUUAACGACCUCCCUUAGAAAUUUGAUAGCAUCCACACAGGAGAGAGAGAGAGAGAGAGAGUUUCCUGGAGAGAGAUCAUUCUAGUGCUCCCAAGGGAGCAUCUCCAUAACUGCCAGCAGAGCUUUUGCCGAGCAAAGACAAGACUGUUUGAUCAUCGUUAAUUUGUAGUACUAGUACUACUCCUAAUUUUCAUCUUCAAGUAUAUAUGUAUCGUUCGGUCACUACUACUUCCACCACCUUUGCAACAAACAAGGCUGCAGAGCAACGGCCUCAACUAACCCACCUCUUUUUUGACCUCUUAUCGCCGGCAACCCUAUAAAAGACGAGGAACCUGCAGAAGAGAAGCCCAAGACAGACCACGAAAUGCAAAAGCAGUACCUUGCUGUACAAACUAUCUCCGGUAUGGUAUCGGAAACCAAAUCGCUCGUAAACAUGGCCUUCCCCAUGGUUUUAACAGGACUCAUUCUUUACUCUCGCUCAAUUCUCUCCAUGCUCUUCCUCGGCCACCUCGGUGAUCUCGAGCUCGCUGCUGGCACUCUGGCCAUUGCUUUCGCCAAUAUAACUGGUUAUUCCGUGCUCUCGGGCCUAUCUCUGGGCAUGGAGCCCCUGUGUUCCCAAGCUUUCGGAGCAAACCGCCCGAAUCUUCUAUCUGUAACCCUUCACCGCACCGUGAUUUUUCUCCUCGCCUCGUCGAUACCCAUUUGGAUUCUUUGGCUCAACAUGUCCAGAAUUCUUCUUUAUCUAAACCAAGACCCCAACAUCACUCGCAUGGCUCACACGUACCUGAUGUUCUCCCUCCCGGACCUUUUGACCAACUCUUUCCUUCACCCAAUUCGCAUUUACCUUCGAGCCCAAGGCAUCACCCUCCCGCUCACGUUAGCGUCCCUUGCUGGCACUGUUUUCCUCUUGCCCAUGAACUUUUUACUCGUCUCCCACUUCCGGCUCGGAGUGGCCGGAGUUUCGGCAGCCUCUGCCGCCUCCAACUUCCUUGUGCUACUAUCCGUAGUCUUAUACAUGCGGGUCACCAGGCUAAACGAGCCAAGCUGGAGUGUCCCCAGCCGAUCAGAGUGCAUGACCGGCUGGAAACCCCUGCUCCGGCUCGCUGUUCCGAGUUGCGUCUCGGUUUGCCUUGAAUGGUGGUGGUACGAGAUUAUGAUCGUCUUGUGCGGACUGUUGGUGAACCCCAAAGCGACCGUGGCGUCAAUGGGCAUCUUGAUACAAACGACGGCGUUGAUUUACGUGUUCCCGUCCUCACUCGGCUGCGCCGUGUCGACUCGGGUCGGGAACGAGCUCGGAGCUAACCGUCCGCACAAAGCAAAAACAUCCGCCGUGGUGGCGGUGUUUAUAGCGGAGAUAAUGGGUUUUUUAGCCAUGACGUUCGCAUCGGGGAUGAGGGAUAAGUGGGCACGGAUGUUCACCAACGACUCGGAGAUCCUGAGGCUUACGGUAGCCGCUCUCCCGAUCAUAGGGUUGUGCGAGCUCGGGAACUGUCCACAGACGGUUGGGUGUGGGGUCCUCAGAGGGAGUGCACGGCCGAGCUCGGCGGCUAACGUGAACCUCGGGGCAUUUUAUCUGGUUGGCAUGCCAGUGGCAGUUGGGCUCGCUUUUCGGCUCGGGGUUGGGUUCUGUGGGCUUUGGCUGGGUUUGUUAUCGGCGCAGGUAUGCUGCGCUGGGCUCAUGUUUUACGUGAUCGGGACUACGGAUUGGGACUUCCAAGCUCGGAGGGCACGGGUGCUAACGUGCGGAGGUGGGGGAGAAUCGGAGCUCACUGCCACUGAUGUAGGUGGCAAGACCGGUGAAGAGCAACAGCCACUUGCUUGUGUUCAUGUGGUCACUUCGUUUCCUCUCGUGAACCCACGCAGAGAACAAUUGCCUCGCUAGAGAAUAACUAUUUUGGUCAAUCACAUCAAUGAAGUGCGCAAGGACAAGUACAUGCACAAAAACGACUGUACUGCGCCAUGAUCUGGAAGCCGCUAUUUUCAGACCAAGCCACUUCUGUUGUGCAAGGAAAAGGGAUUAAGUUUUGUGAUAAGAAAGACUCAUUGAUCCGCAUUUCUCAUGUUUCCCUUGCUGAUCAUCUGUUGGAACAAAUAGGGCAUUCCAUAUAUAUUGAGCUAGCAGCUUCUACGUACGCCAUCGAUCUCAAAUAGUACUUAGGCCUGGUGUAACUUUAAUUAUAUUUAAU